GGGAAAAAAGCCCACAUACUUUGGAAUUAGAUAUAACUGGGUUCAAAUUUCAGCUUCAUCAACUAUUAUAUGUAUGUUCCUUUAUAAUGUUUUCCCUUUUCAGCUGGGCAUGGUGGCUACGCCUGUAAUUCCAGCAUUUUGGGAGGCUGAAGGAGGUGGAUCGCUUGAGAUCAGGAGUUCGAGACCAGCCUGGCCAACAUGGUGAAACCCCGUCUCUACUAAAAAUACAAAAAUUAGCCAGGUGUGAUGGUGCGCACCUGUAGUCCCAGCUACUGGGGAGGCUGAGGCAUGAGAAUUGCUUGAACCCAGGAGGCCGAAGUUGCGGCCCACUAUGACACCGUGACAGGCUAAAGAGCCUUUUGAAUGGAAACUACAUAAAGCAUCAAGCCCCUGAAAAGAAUGACCAGACAAAAGUGCCACAAUCAAUUGAAUGUCUUUAGGAGAUACACUUUUCUUUUAAAAAGCGUGACGCUUUGAUGACUCAGUGGCAGGACAGGUGACAAAGGAAUGGCUGCCUGGAGGCUGUGCAUGGCAGGAGGAGACACCACAGUCUUCCCGCCCUGCCACCCGUCCCUGCCGCCUGACUGUGGAAGGAUGAAGGACACUUUUAGAAAUUUCCCUGCGCGGAGAUGCCAGGAAACCAAUCAUCGCCCAGCCACUUUGUGGGGCCAUUAGCAGAGCGUCAAACUCCAUCUUUGUUUAAACGAAAGCACAAAGAAAAUAAUUUUUCAUCUGAGGAAUCACCUUAAGAUCCCCAAAUGGAAAGUAAGGGGAGCAGUAAACCUCUCACUCCGGGUGGGCAGCUCUAACACAGGGCAUUAAGGUAAGAAGGUUAUUUAUGACAGAAGAAAGGAGACAGGAUUCCAAAGUGGGAGACGAAGGACAGAGGUGAUUGGAGCCUAGCUUUAUCCCCUGCCCCAUUCAAAUGCGGAGGGCAAUGACUUCCAUAAGAAACCAGGUGCCACACGUGACCCAAAGGCAAAAGCCUCACUUUAACUCCUUGAUAUGGUCUGGCUGUGUUCCCACCCAAAAUCUCAUCUGGAAUUGUAGUCCCCAUAAUCCCUGUGUGUGUCAAGGGCAGAACCAGGUGGAGGUAAUCGGAUCAUGGGGGCGUUUCCCCCAUGCUGUUCUCGUGAUAGUGAGUGAGUCUCACGAGAUCUGAUGGUUUAAUAAGCGUCUGGCAUUUCCCCUGCUGGCACUCAUUCUUUCUCCUGCUGUCCUGCGAAGAGGUGCCUUCUGCCAUGAUUGUUAGUUCCUGAGGCCUCCCCAGCCAUGCGAACUCUGUAGGCUAACCCAAGAAGAAUAAAGCAUCGGCUUCCCUGACAUGCUGCUCCCCCCAAAACAGAGUGCCAAUAUGAUUCCAAGGUUCUUAGCACACUGUAUAUUACCUCACUCCUCCUACAGUGGUCUGGAACUGAACUUGCAAUUUCUCCAAGAUAUGUCGGUAUCUCUCUCCAUGCUGUGCUGCGUGGGCUUUGGGAGCGGUGAUGUGGACCAUUUGAAAUUGUCCUUGCUACCUCUUUAAUGCAUAUUUUUAUAUUUCUAUGCUCCACCCAAGUGCUGUAGUCUCUCAACUGCCUUCUUUUUGUUCUUCAGCUUUUAUGAAGCUAUUUUCAAGUGUGAGUAGUUGUCCAAAUUCAUGUUUCUUGAGGGAACAAGUGACUUGUUUGUAAGUUGACUUGUAUAUCUUUUUAUAGCUGAGAUUUUAUCCUGUGAUCUUACUAACUCAGGAAUUUUUUGGAGAUUCUUUGCAGUUUUCUAAGUAGAAUAACCAUAUUAUAUUUAUUAUUAUUUUCCUUCUUACUUUGGUUUUAAUUUGCUCUUUUUUUACAUGUUUUCUGAGUUAGAAACUUAGGUUAUUGAUUUGAUACCCUUAUUCCUUUAUAACAUAUGCAUUUGAUUGUGUAAGUUUUUCUCUAAGCACUGCUUUAGUGCAUCCCACAAAUUUUGAUCUGUUGUAUAUUUUUUAUUUACUUUAAUAUAUCUUCUAAUUUUCUUUUGACUUUAUCUUUGACCAAUGAAAUAUUCAGAAAUGUGUAAUUUCUAAAUAUUUGGGAGAUUUUCUAAAUAUUUCUCUGUUACUGCUUUCUAGUUCAACUCCACUAUGGUUAGAGAACACACUUUGAAUGUUUUAAAUCUGUUAAGAUUUGUUUUAUGACUUAAGACACAGUUGGUAUUUGUGAAUGUUUCAUGUGCACUUGAAAACAAUGUUUAUUCUGCUUUCAUUGGGUCAGGUGGUCUAAAAAUGGCAUUUAAGUUAAUUUGGUUGAUAGUGAUUUUCAGGUAUUAUAUAUCCUUCCUGAUUCCUGCCUAGUUGUUCUAAUGAUUACUGACAGAAGACUGUUGAAAUCUCCAAUUACACUAUUAUUUUUGUAUUUCUACCUUUACCUCUAUAAUUUUUGCUUUAGUAUUGUCACAAUAUUUUGUUGGGUGCAUACCAAUUUAGUAUAGCUAUGUAUUUUUGGUAGAUUGGCACUUUUAACCAUUAUACAAUGUCCCUCUUGGUCCUUGGUAACUUUCCUUCAUUGGAAUUCUACUUUUUUUGAUAUUAAUAUGACAAUUCUAGCAUUCUUUUGGUUAGUAUUUGCAUGGUAUGUCCUUUUCUAUUAUUUAGCUUUUAGCCAAGCUGAGUGUUUUUAUUUAAAAUGGGUUUCCUGCGACUAAAAAUCAUUCUAAUCUUAUUAGAUUAUCUAAUAACCUAAUUAUCUCUCUAUUGGCUGAACUUAGUCAUGGGAUAGAACCUACUUUCAGGGAAGGUUGCAUAAUACAGUCCUUUAUCUGGCCAUAUUGCCUGCACACUUAAAUGUAACCAUGCACCUGUAUAUACACACAUUCACAUAUAUCUGUGUUUUGUUUCUAAAGAAAAGGUGAGAGUGGGUGUUUGUAUAAGCAUCUAGCUAUUUCUGCUUUCAUAUGCUUUUGGUAUUUGUAAACUGUCUUUACCUGUAAAAUAAGGACAUUUCUAACCAUUAUUUCACUUCUAGAAUAAUUAAUUUAUCUGAUCAUUUUAUAUAACAUUUUAAGUGUCUUGUUAAUUUUUUUGUUGAAGUUAUUCAAUAUGUAUUGAAUAUAAAAACACAUCAUUCCUAGUAAAUUAUAGGGAGAUAAUUUUGUCUUUGUUUAAAAAAAUAAGCUUGCUUUCUCAAGGGGGGCUUAAUAUUUCAAAUUUCAUAGCAGCCAUUUAUUGUCAGCAACUUAAAGACUGUUUCUGUUUUAAGAAUACAUUUUUCUUCGAAAUAAAGUCAGAAAUUGGAGCAUCAGCCAUCUUACAUAUCUCCCCAUGCAGUAUAAAUUAAUUUCCAGACUUUCGGGGACAAACUUUCAUCCUAGAAAACCGGAGUGUCAGCAGUGAGCUAGGGAGAGCAGUGGGCUGUUACAUGACACCACUGUUCAAAGUGUCAGGUCACAUGUAGCACUUUAUGAGUUCCCCCUUUCCUGACUGAAACAAACUAUUUUAAUACAUUUCUAAAAAACCAAAAAAUACAAAAUACUCUUUUAAUACAACAUGCAUAUAUGUUUACUAUGACUAAAUAUAUUAUGCCUCUUCCUGUCAAACAGCAUCCAAUGUGGUGAAAUGAAAAACAAUAAAUCUGGGCUGGGUGUGGUGACUCAUGCCUGUAAUCCCAGCACUUUGGGAGGCUGAGGCGGGUGGAUCACCUGAGGUUGGGAGUUUGAGACCAGCCUGACCAAUGGGGAGAAACCCCGUCUCUACUAAAAAUACAAAAUUAGCUGGGCGUGGUGGCGCAUGCCUGUAAUCCCAGCUACUCGGGAGGUUGAGGCAGGAGAACUGCCUGAACCCGGGAGGUGGAGGUUGCAGGGAGCCAAGAUGGCACCAUUGCACUCCAGCCUGGGCAACAAGAGUGAAACCCCGUCUCAAAAAAAUAAAAACAAAAAUAAAAACAAAAACAGUAAAUAUUAUAUAUCAGCAUUUGUGAUAUUUAUUCCUUCUGUUUAGUUAUUUGCCUCUAGAUUGAAGCAUUCAAAACAGAAAAUUAUAUUCAGAGUAAAAACUCUUAGCUGGAUAAUGGAACCUAUCAUUUUAAGUUUUUCCUAUAUUUCCUAAAAAUACCUAUAUUAGGUAUAUUUUUUCCAAUAUUACUCCUUAUCUUUACCUUAGUUCCCUUUCAUUUUUGAUUGUCAUUGUGCUCUCAGCUACACCUGAAAAUUUCUCUGAUUUUUCCCAAGUUGGGAAAUUAAUCCACUUUAAAUUCCAUUAAAGUUUGAAACUCUUUUUCCAUUGUCUUGUGGUUUUAUUUGUACAUUUUAAUUUACUGUAAUUUUAAAAUGUCUCUUUCUAGUUUUGACAAAUGUCAUACUUUUCC
rnacentral:lncRNA from 10 species